AUUGAACGCUGGCGGUAGGCCUAACAUAUGCAAGUCGUACGAGUGGCGGACGGUUGAGUAAUGUCUGGGACACCGCCUGAUGGAGGGGGAGAACUACUGGAAACGGUAGCUAAUACCGUAUACCAUCAGACUUGCCCAGAUGGGAUUGGUUUGUUGGUGUGGUAACGGCUUACCAAGGCGACGAUCCCUAGCUGGUCUGAGAGGAUGACCACCCACACUGUAACUGCGACACGCUCCAGGCUCCUGCGGGAGGCGGCAGUGGGGAAGAUUGCACAAUGGGCGCAAGCCUGAUGCAGCCAGGCCGCGUGUAUGAAGAAGGCCUUCGGGUUGUAAAGUACUUUCAGCGGGGAGGCGUUACCCGCAGAAGGAGCACCGACUAACUCCGUGCCAGCAGCCGCGGUAAUAC
rnacentral:rRNA from 1 species